rnacentral:rRNA from 1 species
UGUUUAUAUAAAUUAUUAUAAAUAUAACCUGCUCAAUGAAAAAUUUUAAAUAGCUGCAAUUUUUGUACUAAGGUAGCAUAAUCAUUUGUUUUUUAAUUUUAAACUAGAAUGAAAGGUAAAACAAAUUAUUUCUUUAUUUUUUAUUUUAUUCCAAUUUAUAUUAAAUAUAAAAAUAUAUUUUUUUAAAAAAAAGACGACAAGACCCUAUUGAACUUUACUUUAGUUAAGCUGGGGAAGCUUAAUAAUAAACAUUUUAUUAAAAAUUUUAUAAAUGACCCAAAACAUUUGAUUAAUUAAUCAAGUUACCAUAGGGAUAACAGCGCAAUAAACUUUUAAAGUUCUUAUCUAAAAAUUUGUUUACGACCUCGAUGUUGAAUUAGAAACCUUUAUUAAGCAAAAAUAAUAAAAGUAGGUCUGUUCGACCUUUAAUAUUCUACAUGAUCU